rnacentral:rRNA from 1 species
CCNUGCGUAGCGGUGAAAUGCGUAGAUAUAUGGAGGANCACCAGUGGCGAAAGCGGCUCUCUGGUCUGUCACUGACGCUGAGGCUCGAAAGCGUGGGUAGCGAACAGGAUUAGAUACCCUGGUAGUNCACGCCGUAAACGAUGAGUGCUAGGUGUUAGGCCCUUUCCGGGGCUUAGUGCCGGAGCUAACGCAAUAAGCACUCCGCCUGGGGAGUACGACCGCAAGGUUGAAACUCAAAGGAAUUGACGGGGGCCCGCACAAGCGGUGGAGCAUGUGAUUUAAUUCGAAGCAACGCGAAGAACCUUACCAGGUCUUGACAUCCCGAUGCUAUUCUUAGAGAUAGGAAGUUACUUCGGUACAUCGGAGACAGGUGGUGCAUGGUUGUCGUCAGCUCGUGUCGUGAGAUGUUGGGUUAAGUCCCGCAACGAGCGCAACCCUUAUUGUUAGUUGCCAUCAUUAAGUUGGGCACUCUAGCGAGACUGCCGGUAAUAAACCGGAGGAAGGUGGGGAUGACGUCAAAUCAUCAUGCCCCUUAUGACCUGGGCUACACACGUGCUACAAUGGUCGGUACAACGAGUUGCGAGCCGGUGACGGCAAGCUAAUCUCUGAAAGCCGAUCUCAGUUCGGAUUGGAGGCUGCAACUCGCCUCCAUGAAGUCGGAAUCGCUAGUAAUCGCGGAUCAGCACGCCGCGGUGAAUACGUUCCCGGGCCUUGUACACACCGCCCGUCACACCACGAGAGUUUGUAACACCCGAAGUCGGUGAGGUAACCUUUUAGGGGCCAGCCGCCUAAGGUGGGANGGAUGAU